AGACCUGAGACUGGAACUGGGAGAAACUCCUUCCUGGACAGGUGUUGGUGCUGGAUCUACAGAAGCUCUGGAAAUCUGUCCUCCUGGACUGUAGGGUGGUCCAAGUGAACCAACUCCCUUGAGGAAAUAUGUUCUCAGCCACAGGAUGUCUUCAGGAUUCUAUGGACCAGAGUUGAUCAAUUAUGGAGAAGAUGAACCCUGUUUGAAGGACCUGAGAUGAUCAGACCUUCUACAG